rnacentral:lncRNA from 1 species
AUUAGCCCGAAGAACACUCUCUUUUAAAAAACCAAGUUCAAUCAUUGUGAACAGAAUAAACGAUCAGCUUUUAGUAAAGUACUUUCUUUUACCUAAAUCUUGUUUUUAAUGUCAAAUUAUAGACUGUCAAAAAGCAAAACUAUAAAUGUUGUAUUUGCCGAUUCAAAAUGCUGUUUAUUUAGGUUUUAGGUUAAAGUUUUUUUGUAUUAGUGCAAUUUUAAAGUAAUGGUCUCCUGUAUAAGGCUAUUAAUACGUUUACAGUUAGACAAAUGUUCUGUUUUACCGUUUCCUAAAAUGUGCAGUAAGACUGUUUUGCGUGUAUGAUCCAAAACGCAGUUUGUUUCAUUUAAGUGCGUCUUCCUACAUGCUAAGUAUAUGCUUCAAUUAUUUGUUUUUGUGGUCACAAAUGUUUUUUUAUUUUCUUUAUAUAUCGUUUUGGGGCUGGGUGUUAAUCAGAUUUAAUUUUAGUGUGUUGCAAAGACAAAGAAGUGGUGUGGCUCACGUUAUAAUGUCAAACAAACUAUCCUUUUACAAAUCAUUGCCGGCUUCUAAACUUGAUGUCUGUGUAAUAAAGCUCUAAACUCAGAAAAUAAUAGAGCAAUAAGAUUCAGCCAAAGUAAGUAAAAUUCAGUUUAACUAUUAUGUAGACAAGUGAAAUGUUUCAAGUUACAUUUUGUUUCUUGCUAAUCGUUUUUUGUUUUAGCCCUUGCAAUUUUUUUUUCUUCUCGAAUUCUUUAUUAUAUGGUUUUUGUAUGUAUUUUCACACUUGAUUUUAUCGGAGGUAUGGUAACAAUUAUAUUAUUGCAUCAGAUAUUUCAUGUUUUCAAUAGUGUUAUAGUGUGCUGUUUGCUUGUUUAACUGGUUACAAUUUUAGUUAUAAAGUAUAAAGUAAAUGGUCAAUGCAAAUAAGAAUUAUGAAUGUCACUCCAGCGAUCAUUUUGUAAGCUACUUAGUAGUUAGAU